GAAGGGGACUCCAUGGCCAAACCGUAGGAAUCUGCAGGCGGGGGAGUCAGAUGCUCCUAGAUAAUAGAACAGCAGAAGAACGAUGGAGACGCUGCCUAUAGGGAACUCUAGUCUGAAAUGACUUCAUGUUGAUAGGAAGCAUUUCUUGCUAACUUCUAAGCAUAAGGUCCAAUGUGGGUCAUGCAGCCUGUGACACCCAGAACAUGUGGACUCCAAGCACUUCUGCUCACAAUCUAUGGGGUAGAACAUCACAUAUUCCCAACUUCACUGCAAGAGAGGAAGGAAGAUGAAGAGAAGCACAUGUGCAUUUGCGGCUGUACCAAUUUACAUGGCAACCUGCGAUUGAUAGAUCCUAUUGAUGACAUUCUCUCCAGGACAUGGUAUUACCAGAUGGCUUUGAAUAUGUAAGAGCUCAGUGAAGCAUU